GAUAAUAUCUCCCUUUGAAAACCU
rnacentral:siRNA from 1 species